AGGAAGCACUACUUCCUGACAAGAACUCCAGCUCAGUACGGGGACAGGUCCACAUAGAGAAAAUCUCUUCCUGCUCCAAGGCAGUGAUAUUGUUGGCUCCAGAUUCUUCACUUGACAAUGGAUAAAGAUGCAACUAGAGUGGGAUGGUCCCUGAGGGAAGCAGUGACUGAUUGGAUCCAGAGUUUGAUUACACUGCCAAUUGAGAAGAAUCGAGAUCAUUUAGAAAUAAAACUCUGGUAGUCAGGUAAAUGUCAUUUGAUCUGACUCGGUGAUAACCUGACCCAGUCGUCUUCUUGUCCUGUCUACAGCAUCCAACGGCUUCAGCUACUCUGAGUAAUUGUAACCAAGGCAACGUGACAGGGAAGAACUAAUGACUAGAAUCGUCUUGAAAAUAUACAGCAAGUGCUAAAUAAUAAAUA